GCAUGUGNUUAAUUCGAAGCAACGGCGCAGAACCUUACCCAACCCUUGACAUGGACGUAUGGGCUUNCAGAGAUGAGGUCCUUCAGUUCGGCUGGCGUCCACACAGGUGCUGCAUGGCUGUCGUCAGCUCGUGUCGUGAGAUGUUGGGUUAGGUCCCGCAACGAGCGCAACCCCUAUCUUCAGUUGCCAUCAUUCAGUUGGGCACUCUGAAGAAACUGCCGGUGACAAGCCGGAGGAAGGCGGGGAUGACGUCAAGUCCUCAUGGCCCUUACGGGUUGGGCUACACACGUGCUACAAUGGUGGUGACAAUGGGGAGCGAGGCCGCGAGGCCAAGCCAAUCUCAAAAAGCCAUCUCAGUUCGGAUUGCACUCUGCAACUCGAGUGCAUGAAGUUGGAAUCGCUAGUAAUCGCGCAUCAGCAUGGCGCGGUGAAUACGUUCCCGGGCCUUGUACACACCGCCCGUCACACCAUGGGAGUUGGUUUUACCCGAAGCCGGUGCGCGAACCGCAAGGACGCAGCCGACCACGGUAAGGUCAGCGACUGGGGUGAAGUCGUAACAAGGUAGCCGUAGGGGAACCUGCGGCUGGAUCACCUCCUU
rnacentral:rRNA from 1 species